UUAUCUAUUUACUCAACUUUAAACACUAUAAAAUGAUGAGGUCAUAUUUCAUCUGUUACAUGCAAAGAGAAGAAACAAAAUAUGGCUAAAACUCUCAAAAUUUUUUAUGCCAUGCUUUUAUUUCUUUUCAGGCUUCUUAUUGUUAAGGAGGUUAGCGGAAAUCUUCCUGAGUGUAGCACUGAUGAUCAUUGUAAACAAGUUUCGUCGAAGUUUUAUAGGCAUAUUUGCCAUAACAAUCGGUGCAAAAUUGUUAUGUUUAUGCCACCUAAUGUCUGAGUAUCAUAUCUAAGAGAGUACACAAAUAUCAUGCACAAAAGAAUGAGUUCUUACACUUACAUCUUAUGCAAGAAUAUUCCACGAAUUGCCAUUUAAUCUUUGUGAUGGCACCAUGUGAUUGUAUUUUAUUUUAUUUUAUUUUGUAAUUUCGCAGAUCUUAUUAUUACGAAUUUGUCGUCAAAGAUAUUAGCUUAUUGGUUCGAGUUUGAUUUUUAAACCUCAAGAGACUUGGCUCAAAUCUCAUAGGUGACCAUGACCAUUGGUGCCACCAUUGUGAAAAAAUUAUAAUUACGUAAAUUGUUUUCUUCUCUCUUUAUUUACGA